rnacentral:rRNA from 1 species
AGUCUGCAACUCGACUACAUGAAGCUGGAAUCGCUAGUAAUCGCGAAUCAGAAUGCCGCGGUGAAUACGUUCCCGGGUCUUGUACACACCGCCCGUCACACCAUGGGAGUCGGAAAUGCCCGAAGUCUGUGACCCAACCGCGAGGAGGGAGCAGCCGAAGGCAGGUCGGAUGACUGGGGUGAAGUCGUAACAAGGUAGC